AUGAAGAUACAGAAGUUGGUGGUGACUCCCAAGUAACGCAACAGAAGAAAUCAGAGGAGAAAUACGAGCAGUACUUAUUUGCAGCAAUGCUACCAGUGACAGGAAAGACACUUGGCCUUCCAGACAAGUCAGAAGAAAUCAGUGAAGGAUCAAUCUACGCCAAGAUUUACAGAAUAAAGGUGUGAUGAGAACAGACAAGUUGAAUGUACCAGAAGACUUCAUAGGUGAAGGAGCAGAGGACACAGGGCACUGCCAACAUCUCAGAGUCUGACCUCUUUCUGGCUGAAACAACAAGAAGGCUGUUUAAGUUGGCAAAGCAAGAAGAAAAAGGAAAACCAAACUUCCUUUCUGGGUCUACUUAGGAGGCCAGAUAUUUAACACAUAUUUAGUAAACAGAUUUUAAAAUAGCUUAUAACAAAUAGAUCUGUGAGUAUUGACUGAUAAAAGGACCCUUCCACAUGAAGCUCAAAACUAUGUAUUUUUUAAACUGCUAGUUAUUACGAAUAUUAGAGAUAGAUGACCUGUACUUUUCUCUGUGCUUUUCUUCACAGUUCAUCUCUGUUGGAUUUCUCUUUUUGUGAUGAAAUCAUAGUAUUUUACAAUGACAAGCCAGUGUAAUUAUCAUGUUAUGAAAACAGACCAUAGCAAAAAGUGAAAUGGACAAAAUGAGAAAAAUGCUCUGUGUACUUGACUGCUGUAAAUGAUUAACUGUUAGUUCUCUUUUUUACCAGGAAAAAAAA